UGCUAUUGCUCCAAAGCAUUUUGUGCAAAGAGUGAAAAAACAAAAUGAGCUUUUCCGCAGUUACAUGCACCAGGAUGCUCAUGAAAUUUUGAAUUUUCUGCUUAAUGAGCUUGUUGACAUCCUGGAGAAAGAGCACAAUUCUUCAAAAGACUCUCCAGAAGCUUCAUCACCACUGAAAAGACUGCAAAUGGGCCACAGGUUGCUCAAACCAAUGGCGGUAGAAAAAAGAGCCAUUGUUCACCUGGGUACACAAAAAUUUUCAGGGGAUACUAACCAAUGAAACACGAUGCUUACGGUGUGAAACUGAGACAGUAAGGGAUGAAACUUUUCUAGACUUAAGCCUUGAUAUCGAACAAAACAGCUCAAUCACUAGCUGCCUCAAAAACUUCAGUUCCACCGAGACUUUCAAUCAUUUUGAGCAAGCAUUGAAGAUCUCCCCAUCCGUCUCCAACAAGGUAUUUGAAUCUUUGGAAUUGUUAAGGAAUAUUGAAAACAUUGGAGAAGAAAACGAUUUCUUUGGAUGUCUAUUUUCCCCUAUUUUAGGAAAAAGUAGCUGCUAUGGAAAAUUGUUUUCCACUUCCACAUUUUUUCCUCAAAAAACAUGGAUAUCAAUUUCUUUAGAGAGCAUGCUAAAUAUAGAUUUCCAAGGUCUUGACUCUUGAGAGAGCCAUCUGACGUGUAGACUUUUAAAAUUUCCGGGGAGAACUAUUCUCCAAACAAAAUAAUAGAAUUACUGUUGGGAUCUGCAAUUUUCUAUUCCCUUAGGAUUAUGUUAGUUUUCCAUGUCCACC